ensembl:snRNA U6 U6 spliceosomal RNA
GUGCUCGCUUUGGCAGCACAUAUACUAAAAUUGGAAUGAUACAGAGAUUAGCAUGGCCCCUGCACAAGGAUGACACACAAGUUUGUGAAGCAUUCCAUAUUUUU